rnacentral:tRNA from 1 species
GAAGGUAUAGCUCAGUGGUAGAGCUCAUACUUAGCGUGCAUGAGGUCCUGGGUUCAAUCCUCAGUACCUCCA